rnacentral:rRNA from 1 species
ACAAGCGUUAUCCGGAUUUACUGGGCGUAAAGCGCCCGUAGGCGGCUUUUUAAGUUGGACGUGAAAGCUCCCGGCUUAACUGGGAGAGGCCGUUCAAAACUGAGAGGCUAGAGUGAGGCAGAGGAGCGCGGAAUUCCCGGUGUAGUGGUGGAAUGCGUAGAUAUCGGGAGGAACACCAGUGGCGAAAGCGGCGCUCUGGGCCUAAACUGACGCUGAGGGGCGAAAGCGUGGGGAGCGAACGGG